rnacentral:rRNA from 1 species
GGACUACAGGGGUAUCUAAUCCUGUUUGCUACCCACGCUUUCGUGCCUCAGCGUCAGUAAUGGUCCAGCAAGCUGUCUACACCACAGGUGUUCCUCCUGAUAUCUACGCAUUUCACCGCUACACCAGGAAUUCCGCUUACCUCUCCCAUACUCAAGCAAUCCAGUUUUCGCCGCACCCUCCCAGUUAAGCCGGGAGAUUUCACGACAAACUUAGAUCACCGCCUACGCACUCUUUACGCCCAGUAAUUCCGAACAACGCUUGCUGCCUACGUAUUACCGCGGCUGCUGGCAC